rnacentral:piRNA from 1 species
GAGUAUAGAUCCAGAGCAGAACAUG